rnacentral:rRNA from 1 species
UAAGGAGGAUGCGAGCGUUAUCCGGAUUUAUUGGGUUUAAAGGGUGCGCAGGCGGAUUUUUAAGUCAGCGGUCAAAUCGUGGGGCUCAACCCCAUCCAGCCGUUGAAACUGGCAGUCUCGAGUUGGAGAGAAGUAUGCGGAAUGCGUGGUGUAGCGGUGAAAUGCGUAGAUAUCAGGAGGAACACCGGCGGCGAAGGCGGCCUGCUGGACUGAAACUGACGUUGAGGCUCGAAAGCGUGGGGAGCAAACAGG